rnacentral:rRNA from 1 species
UACGGAGGAUCCGAGCGUUAUCCGGAUUUAUUGGGUUUAAAGGGUGCGUAGGCGGUCUUUCAAGCCAGAAGUGAAAGGCUACGGCUCAACCGUAGUAAGCUUUUGGAACUGUAAGACUUGAGUGCAGGAGAGGUAAGCGGAAUUCCUAGUGUAGCGGUGAAAUGCGUAGAUAUUAGGAGGAACACCGGUGGCGAAGGCGGCUUACUGGACUGUAACUGACGCUGAGUCACGAAAGCGUGGGUAGCAAACAGGAUUAGAUACCCUGGUAGUCCCUGAGCGGG